CUGUGUCCCCUUCGAGGCUCCAGGCCCUGCAAAAACAAGAGACAGGCCUGAGCGUCACAAGGUACAGGGACCAGGCCUGGAUGUCUGGGCUCUGACCUGCAUGACUCAGCCAGGGGAAGGCUCACUGCUCAGGGCUCAGACGGCUCAGGGAGAACCUGUGAGAGGCCGGAGGUGGCCCCUGGUGUGAGGGAAACAUGGGCUUUACCCAGACAGGAGAACAGAGGCAGAACAGGCCAUUCUAGGCGGAAGGAAUCAUCUGCAAAGACAAGCACGUGUGAAAGUGGGUGCGUCCGUGCGUCCGGGAAGGGACAGGAGCUGGAAGGUCACGUCACUCCCGCCCAGCAAGGUCAGUCAGGAUCCAGGAUACUUGCCAUGAGGGUCUGUGGAGAAGCAGAAGUCAGCCCGGGGUCUCUCAGGGAUACACAGGAGCCAAGGAGGAAGGAGGGAACCCAGUCCCUUUGCCGGAAUGCAGGAAAUUCCAAGGAGGGAGUGGGAAACCCAGUAGGGCUGCACGGCCGGGCAACUAUGGGAAGGAAUGUGAGGGUACAACGAGUAUAUGCCGUCGCCACCACCACCUAGCCGAGCAGAGCAGAGACCCAAGUCCCUCACAGCACACACAGGACAAACACUGGUUGGGUUCAGCGUAUCGGUGCGUGACAGAAAGUGUGCAGGUAAUAGAAAAUGCGGGAGGGGAUCUUUAUGAGCCUGGCUCAGGGACGACUUGCCCGAGCAAUACACGAAACCCGGAAGCCGUCCAGGGACAGCAGAUCCUGGAGCACAGGAACCCGAAAUACACUUGCAGGGAAAGAGAAAGAAUAUUUUCAACUUUCAUCACCAGGCUAAGGGUCCCUGUACAUAACGUACCAGUGCCCCGGAGCGGCCACCGUCACAGCCCCAGCGGCCCUGGGGUCCUGACACCCUCAGCCAGGAACGUGGAGUGGGAGGGAAGAUCGCUUGCUGUGAUCACCCCCCAAAUCAACUGCUUACCAUCAGGUCCUGCUUCCCGGAGGCCCCGCCCUAGAUACUUGCACACGGCGGGCAACCAGGCGCAAGUCUCGGCAUCUUCCGAGUCCAAAACGUGGGCUCCCUGUUGGGUCCCUGUCCUCCCGCCUCCACGCUCUCCUGGCCACUUCUUCAACUCAGAGCGGCAGCCCUGGUCCUGAGAAGACAUGGCGGGCAGGGUGGGCAGUGUGCCGGUCUCCCC
rnacentral:lncRNA from 1 species